CCUACGGGUGACAGCAGUGGGGAAUAUUGGGCAAUGGAGGCAACUCUGACCCAGCAACGCCGCGUGAAUGAUGAAGGUCUUCGGAGUGUAAAGUUCUUUUCUCAGGGAAGAAGAAAGUGACGGUACCUUAGGACUAAGCGUCGGCUACCUACGUGCCAGCAGCCGCGGUAAUACGUAGGAGGCAGGCGUUAUCCGGAUUGACUGGGCGUAAAGGGUGAGUAGGUGGUGUGGUAAGAUAGUAGCGCAACUCCGGAGCACAACCUCGGGACUACUGCUAAAACUGUUGGACUGGAGUGCAGGAGAGGAGAUCGAAAUUCCUAGUGUAGCGGUGAAAUGCGUAGAUAUUAGGAGGAACACCAGUGGCGAAGGCGGAUUACUGGACUGUAACUGACACUGAGGCACGAAAGCGUGGGGAGCAAACAGGAUUAGAUACCCCAGUAGUC
rnacentral:rRNA from 1 species